UAGGGGGAGGGGGGAGUGAGCGGCGAAGGAACUUUUUAUCUUGAAUAUUAUAUAAGUAUAUAUAUAUAUAUAACUAGAUAGAUUUAUGUGAGAGAUAGAAAAAAUAUUUUUUUGUUGUUUAAUUUUAGAUGUAGAUAUGUAGAUAGAUAGAUUUAAUUUAUGAUGAAAUCACAUUGUAUAAAGCAAUAGCUCUAAAUAUAGAUAUAU
rnacentral:lncRNA from 1 species